GCUCCGGUGUCCUAGUGGUUAGAGCGUCCGCCUCGGAUGCGGAAGUCACGGGUUUGAAUCCCGGCUGAGUCA